UUUCUAAAUCAUGUAUUAAUUCUUGAUUGUUAGCAGGAAAAGGAUGCCCUAUUGACAACUACUGUGAUCAUAGAGAAAGGCACACCAAAAUUUGAGCUUGAUAUUCAGCAAUAUGAUACAAUCAUGUUGCAUUUCUCUUUGCUUCUUCUGAGCUGGCCUAUACAAUUCCAUAUGUUUCAGUAAGGGAAUCUGAGUUCAUAUUAUACAGGAUGCGCUAAUCCAGUGUUUCAAAUCAAUACAUGAGAGAGAGGCAGUUAAAGACAACAAAAGGAGCACUGAAACAGAAAUUCUCAAGCUGUGAAAAAGCGAUAAGAGUAUCACGAUCACAGCUUCUUCACCUAAGAAUCUAUUUCUAUUGUUCCUUCGUAUGGACUGAGUAUGUGUCAAAAGAUCGGGAUGCUCGCAGAUUCUCGAGAAAGAGUGGGAUUGAUAAAUAAUGUUUGAGAAAACAUAAAGAGCGAACCAAGUCGAUGCUUACAUAACGAAGAUGCAAAUGUAUAUAUCGAAAAAGGAGAGUUUUUUUUUUCUUUUACUGGGCAGAUAUUUUUUUUUUUUGAAAAUAAUAUUAACAUUUUAUAUUAUUGCUAAGCAGAAACUAUUUAAUUUCAGUUAACAUUUAGAAAUGUAUAUUUUACCCUCAUUUGAAUAUAAAUGAAC